UUGAACGCUGGCGGCAUGCCUUACACAUGCAAGUCGAACGGUAGAGAGGCAACCCUUGAGAGUGGCGAACGGGUGAGUAAUGCAUCGGAACGUGCCCAGUCGUGGGGGAUAACGCAGCGAAAGCUGUGCUAAUACCGCAUGUGAUCUGUGGAUGAAAGCAGGGGACCGCAAGGCCUUGUGCGAUUGGAGCGGCCGAUGUCAGAUUAGCUAGUUGGUAGGGUAAAAGCCUAC
rnacentral:rRNA from 1 species